AGAAAUUUUCAUUGUAGGUGCUCAAAUGGUUGUGGUCUCGUGGAUAUUCUUACAUUUUGUUUCUGAUCGAAAAAGAGCAUUUUUAAAUUUUUAUUUAAGUCGACAAAAUUUAAAAUACUUGAUAAAACUAAACUACGAAAACAUUGCCCUAUUUUAACAGAACUUUAUCUUCUAAUAUUUUUCUCGGAUGUGAUAUUGGCUUUGACGGAGAAAAACUUAUAGUAAUUAAACGCUUUCGAUUUUUUAUCAUGUGGUUUAGCUAGUUUACAUAUUGAUAAGUUACUAGAGAUAUCCGGGUUCGAAGAUGCCCCAUUAUAUUUUACUUUAUGGUCAUACAGAUAUAAAGCUAUGUUUUAGACAUCAAUUAAUACUCGAAAAAUCAAAAAAAAUUAUUAUAAAUAAUCACUAUUUUGCUUCGGAAAAGGCUUUUAAACAAUUUAUUAAUAUUGAUAUUAAGUGGCUUCUCUCUUUAUGAUACGUGUUAAAGUGUAUAUUGCUUAUGACUACGUGCUAACCAUUACUCCCUCAA
rnacentral:lncRNA from 1 species